rnacentral:tRNA from 1 species
GCACGGAUAGCUCAGUGGUAGAGCGGCUCGUUUACACCGAGUUGGUCGGGGGUUCGAAUCCCUCUCCGUGUA